rnacentral:tRNA from 1 species
CAUCAGAUGACUGAAAGUAAGUAAUGGUCUCUUAAACCAAAAUAUAGCAAAUUAACGCUUGCUUCUGAUGA